GACGAACGCUGGCGGCGUGCUUAACACAUGCAAGUCGAACGGAAAGGCCUGCUUUCCCUUGUGGAUUGCGGGUACUCGAGUGGCGAACGGGUGAGUAACACGUGAGUGAUCUGCCCCCAACUUGGGUAUAAGCCUGGGAAACUGGGUCUAAUUCCCGAUAGGACUGCAGGGUGGUGCCUGUGGUGGAAAGCGAUUUUCUAGUGGUUGGGGAUGAGCUCGCGGCCUAUCAGCUUGUUGGUGGGGUAAUGGCCUACCAAGGCGGCGACGGGUAGCCGGCCUGGGAGGGUGGACGGCCACAUUGGGACUGAGAGACGGCCCAGACUCCGACGGGAGGCAGCAGUGGGGAAUAUGGCACAAUGGGCGGAAGCCUGAUGCAGCGACGCCGCGUGGGGGAUGACGGCCUUCGGGUUGUAAACUCCUUUCGACCGCGAGGAAGCCACCUGGUUGGAAGGGUGGUGACGGUAGUGGUAGAAGAAGCACCGGCUAACUACGUG
rnacentral:rRNA from 1 species